GAUGAAGAACGUAGCGAAAUGCGAUAAGUAGUGUGAAUUGCAGAAUUCAGUGAAUCAUCGAAUCUUUGAACGCACAUUGCGCCCCUUGGUAUCCCGAGGGGCAGGCCUGUUCGAGCGUCAUUUCACCACUCAAGCCUGGCUUGGUGUUGGGCGACGUCCCCUUUGGGGACGCGCCUCGAAACGCUCGGCGGCGUGGCACCGGCUUUAAGCGUAGCAGAAUCUUUCGCUUUGGAAGUCGGGGCCCCGUCUGCCGGAAGACCUACUCGCAAGGUUGACCUCGGAUCAGGCAGGGAUACCCGCUGAACUUAAGCAUAUCAAUAAGCGGAGGA
rnacentral:misc_RNA from 1 species